UCGAGAAUUUUUCUCAAUGGGCGAAAGCCUGAAGGAGCGACGCCGCGUGGGGGAUGAAUGGCUUCGGCCCGUAAACCCCUGUCAUUUGCGAACAAAUUAUUUUACCUAACACGUAAAGUAUUGAUUGUAGCGGAAGAGGAAGGGACGGCUAACUCUGUGCCAGCAGCCGCGGUAAUACAGAGGUCCCAAGCGUUGUUCGGAUUCACUGGGCGUAAAGGGUGCGUAGGCGGUAGGGUAAGUCUGUUGUGAAAUCUCCGAGCUUAACUCGGAAACUGCAAUGGAUACUAUCCGACUAGAGGAAUGGAGGGGAGACUGGAAUACUUGGUGUAGCAGUGAAAUGCGUAGAUAUCAAGUGGAACACCAGUGGCGAAGGCGAGUCUCUGGACAUUUCCUGACGCUGAGGCACGAAAGCCAGGGGAGCAAACGGGAUUAGAUACCCCCGUAGUCC
rnacentral:rRNA from 1 species